rnacentral:lncRNA from 1 species
UUUUUCCUUUCCCAAAAAGCAUUGGGAUGUUCACUACAUAUAGAGGUUUCUAUUUGUUGUUGAAUUGAUUGAAUCUUUUGUUGAAUCAAAGGUUCUUGUAUUUGUUCUUCUAUAUACUUAUAUUUAAUUUCUUGUUUUAAAGUACAGAGAAAUUUUUCUUUAUUUUGUAACUGACUUUUUACAUUGUUAAUUUCUUUUAGUUUUGGUUUAUGAAUGAAUUCAAAGUGUAUUGGUAUAUAUAUAUAUAUAAACUCUUGCCAACGCUUAAGACAGAAGAUCACGAC